CUGUGUCAUGCAUCCGGGGGCGGGGCGGCGCCUGCGCAGUGUCUCGGGAUCGGGAGGAGCCGCUUGAGGGGAUCCGUGUGGCCGCCGGGAUGCCGGACUAUCUGGGCGCCGAUCAGCGCAAAACCAAGGAGGAGGAGAAGGAGGAUAAACCCAUCCGCGCAUUGGAUGAAGGGGAUAUUGCCUUGCUGAAAACCUAUGGCCAGAGCACGUACUCAAGGCAGAUUAAGCAGGUAGAAGAUGAUAUUCAGCAGCUACUUAAGAAAAUUAAUGAGCUCACUGGUAUGUGCUUUUCUUAAAGUAAAA